rnacentral:rRNA from 1 species
UACGUAGGGUGCAAGCGUUGUCCGGAAUUAUUGGGCGUAAAGAGCUCGUAGGCGGUCUGUCGCGUCGGCUGUGAAAACUCGGGGCUUAACCCCGGGCCUGCAGUGGGUACGGGCAGACUAGAGUGCGGUAGGGGAGACUGGAAUUCCGCGUGUAGCAGUGAAAUGCGUAGAGAUGCGGAGGAACACCGAUGGCGAAGGCAGCCCCCUGGGCUAACACUGACGCUCAGGCACGAAAGCGUGGGGAGCAAACAGG